rnacentral:rRNA from 1 species
GUUGAUCCCGCCGGACCUGACUGCUAUCGGAUUGAUACUAAGCCAUGCGAGUCAUUGUAGCAAUACAAGGCAUACGGCUCAGUAACGCGUAGUCAACCUACCCUAUGGACGGGGAUAACCUCGGGAAACUGAGAAUAAUACCCGAUAGAACAUUAUUCCUGGAAUGGUUUAUGUUUCAAAUAAUUUAUUGCCGUAGGAUGGGACUGCGGCCUAUCAGUUUGUUGGUGAGGUAAUGGCCCACCAAGACUAUUACAGGUACGGGCUCUGAGAGGAGUAGCCCGGAGAUGGGUACUGAGACACGGACCCAGGCCCUAUGGGGCGCAGCAGGCGAGAAAACUUUGCAAUGUGCGAAAGCACGACAAGGUUAAUCCGAGUGGUUUCUGCUAAAGGAACCUUUUGACAGUCAUAGAACCACUGUUGAAUAAGGGGUGGGCAAGUUCUGGUGUCAGCCGCCGCGGUAAAACCAGCACCUCAAGUGGUCAGGAUGAUUAUUGGGCCUAAAGCAUCCGUAACCGGCUUUGUCAGUUUUCGGUUAAAUCCAUACGCUCAACGUAUGGGCUGCCGGGAAUACUGCACAGCUAGGGAGUGGGAGAGGUAGACGGUACUCGGUA